CUCCGCCUUCCUGCUAUCAUUCCCACAAGGCAGCAGGAGCAGAGAGCAGCCAUUGCUGUGUCUGGCAGCAGAAUUACACAGUGGUGAAGAAAACAUCCAGCAGCCGUCCCUGUGUGUCAGGAGGACUGAGCAGGACCCAGAGCCCCAUCACGGUGCCUCCACCUAACUCACUAAUACAUGAGAGACACAAUGACCAGAAGAUCCUGGAACUCACCAACAAGAUCAUUCAGCUGCUGACUGGAGAGGAGGGGGAGUAUAUAGAGGAACACAGGGGUCUGUACAAGGACGUGAUGAUGGAGAAUCACCGGCCCCUCACAU